CAAGCGUUGUUCGGAAUUACUGGGCGUAAAGGGCGCGUAGGCGGUCCGAUAAGUCCUGUGUGAAAUCCCUCGGCUCAACUGAGGAACUGCACGGGAGACUGUCGGGCUUGAGUUCGGGAGAGGGAAGCGGAAUUCCGGGUGUAGCGGUGAAAUGCGUAGAUAUCCGGAGGAACACCGGUGGCGAAGGCGGCUUCCUGGACCGACAUUGACGCUCAGGCACGAAAGCGUGGGGAGCAAACAGG
rnacentral:rRNA from 1 species